UACGAAGGGUGCAAGCGUUACUCGGAAUUACUGGGCGUAAAGGGUGCGUAGGCGGUUGUUUAAGUCUGUCGUGAAAUCCCCGGGCUCAACCUGGGAAUGGCGAUGGAAACUGGGCAGCUAGAGUGUGUCAGAGGAUGGUGGAAUUCCCGGUGUAGCAGUGAAAUGCGUAGAGAUCGGGAGGAACACCAGUGGCGAAGGCGGCCUUCUGGACCAAUACUGACGCUCAUGCACGAAAGCGUGGGGAGCAAACAGG
rnacentral:rRNA from 1 species